CCUUCCAUUGGAUCAGCGGGCGGGAACCGGCCCCACUCGUUUUCUCUAGUUUCAAGAUGGCGGCUGCCGGAGUUGCUCGGCGAAGCUUCCAGGCCUUCAUUGCCCGGAUACCCUGGACCAUGGGUGCACUUAGAUGCUCAUCACACGGAAUAUGUUUUCCCAUUUCUUAUCAUAACUGCUUUUAAAAAGUUUCCAUUGGUGCCAGUGAAGCAAGGGGGCAGUAUACAGGAGAUGCUGCUGCUUGCAAGGAUGAAAUAAAACAAUAUUUUUCUCAAUUUGGGACUGUGAAAAAUUGCAUUCUGCCAUUUAAUACAGAAACAGGAUUUCAUAAAGGUUUUUGCUGGGUUGGAUUUUCUACAGAAGAAGGUCUCAAAAAUGCUUUGCA